rnacentral:tRNA from 1 species
GAGUCCGUAUAGCCCU